rnacentral:rRNA from 1 species
UACGUAUGGAGCAAGCGUUAUCCGGAUUUACUGGGUGUAAAGGGAGCGUAGACGGUAUGGCAAGUCUGAUGUGAAAGGUGUGGGCUCAACCCGCAAACUGCAUUGGAAACUGUCAGACUAGAGUGUCGGAGAGGUAAGUGGAAUUCCUAGUGUAACGGUGAAGUGCGUAGAUAUUAGGAGGAACACCAGCGGCGAAGGCGGCUUACUGGACGAUAACUGACGUUGAGGCUCGAAAGCGUGGGGAGCAAAC